AGCGAACGCUGGCGGCAGGCUUAACACAUGCAAGUCGAGCGGGCAUCCUUGUGGUGUCAGCGGCAGACGGGUGAGUAACGCGUGGGAACGUGCCCUUCGGUUCGGAAUAACUCAGGGAAACUUGAGCUAAUACCGGAUACGUGCGAGAGCAGAAAGGUUUAUCUGCCGAAGGAUCGGCCCGCGUCUGAUUAGCUAGUUGGUGAGGUUACGGCUCACCAAGGCGACGAUCAGUAGCUGGUCUGAGAGGAUGAUCAGCCACACUGGGACUGAGACACGGCCCAGACUCCUACGGGAGGCAGCAGUGGGGAAUAUUGGACAAUGGGGGCAACCCUGAUCCAGCGAUGCCGCGUGAGUGAUGACGGCCUUAGGGUUGUAAAGCUCUUUUCUCCGGGACGAUAAUGACGGUACCGGAGGAAUAAGCCCCGGCUAACUUCGU
rnacentral:rRNA from 1 species